rnacentral:tRNA from 1 species
GGAGAGAUGACCGAGAGGCCGAAGGUGCACGCUUGGAAAGCGUGUGUGCUCGUAAGGGUACCGAGGGUUCGAAUCCCUCUCUCUCCG